UACGAAGGGGGCUAGCGUUGCUCGGAAUCACUGGGCGUAAAGGGUGCGUAGGUGGGCAGGUAAGUCAGUGGUGAAAUCUCUGGGCUUAACCCAGAAACUGCCGUUGAUACUAUCUGUCUUGAAUAUAGUGGAGGUGAGCGGAAUAUGUCAUGUAGCGGUGAAAUGCUUAGAUAUGACAUAGAACACCCAUUGCGAAGGCAGCUCGCUACACUAUCAUUGACACUGAGGCACGAAAGCGUGGGGAUCAAACAGG
rnacentral:rRNA from 1 species